GCUCAAAGGAACUUUUUUGCAACGCGUGUGCUGAGAGAAUGUGUGUGUGUGUGUGUGUGUGUUCUCUCAGCGCACACGUUGCAGAAAAGUUCCUUUGAGC
rnacentral:miRNA from 1 species